GUAAAAAUAUCAAGAAAUGCUGAGGCCCAUGUCCCAGAACAACAGUCCUUUAGGUGGAUCACACAUUCUCCACUACACCAAGCUCUACUCAGUAAAAUCUGCGAAGGAACAUUUCGGAGCCCAUUGAAGCAUUAAGAAUAAUCUGAAUAUCCUGAGAUAAAAACUAGAAAGGAGCUAUCUGUGAAACUGCUUGGUGAUGCGUGGAUUCAACUCAAUAGUUAAACCUUUCUUUUUAUUCAGCAGGUGCAGGUUGGAAACACUCUUUUAAUAGAAUCUGCAAAGGGGCAUUUCAGAGCUUAUUGAGGUCUAUGGGGAGAAACCAAUUAUCCCCAGAUAAAAAUUGGAAAGAAGCUGUCUGUGAAACUGCUUGGUUAGAAACACUCUUAUUGAAGAAUCUGCAAAGGGACUUUUGGGAACCCAUUGAUGCUUAAGGG
rnacentral:lncRNA from 10 species